UCUUCUUCUUCUACCCUUAUUCUUUCAUUUCUUUUUCAAUUGUUUUCCGUUCUUUUUCCUCUUCCCUUGUUUUUCUUUGUUGUGCCUGCGCCAUCAGCUAGUUGCCAAAUUAAAGAAAACACAGAAAGCCAAAACGCCGAACUGCCCGGUUUGCAUUGAACCGUAACCGUUGGUUCAAAAACGGGCAAAGCGGCGGUUCGAAACCGAAAGGACAAAUCUAAAUUUAUACAUUUUCAUGCCCGCUCCCCAAACUUACUCCUCCAGCCUCCAACCAUUUCUAAAAUAUUUUAACCCUAAUUCAUUCUUCGCAUUCACACCCGUCGUUCACAGCCUCACAUUUGUCGAUCAAGUCCCCGCGCACAGUCCGCAGACGAUUCAAGCAACUUCGUCCAUCGAUUAGCUUUGCAACACUUUGACUAAAGUCAACAUGAAUCCUUCUGUCAUCGAUCAGAGCAUUGUCCAUCUACAGAUUAUGAGGGUGUAGAUUUUAUAUAUGGACAAUCAACAUCGUUAUUUCCACCAUCCUCCCGUAGGCGGUGGCGGUGGAGGUGGAAACACUAGUAAUAUUCGUGAAGAAAAUCAAAAUAUUGCCAGUGGAGUUGUUGAUAAUAAAAUAUAGAUUACUUCCGAUAAUUUUGAUUCGGUUCCAGAUUUGGUUGGAAAUAUAGGAAAUAUAUUUCGGUCUGGUUUGCCUGGAGCAUGGAUAUUUAUGAAACAAGUUUCUCAUAGCCAAAGGAACACAUGACUUGAAAUAUUUAAGGUAUAUUUAAAAUCGACUUCUUUAAAUUAACCAUUUUAUUAUUGGAUUUAUUCUAAUUAUUAAAUUUCAACAGCAUUUUUAUAGGUGGGAAUCUCAAUAUGAAUCUGAGAUUCGUGACUUAUUUUUUUAAUAAAGUUAGUGAGUUAUUAAGACGAAAUUUAAGCUACGCAUGAAACAAAAAUAUAUGUCUCCAAUGGAUUAAAUCUGAAAAUUGAGAUAAAAUGAAGGAGCAAUGGGGUUCUACAGAAUAUCAGGAUAUGGUAGCUCAAAAUAAAAAAAAUAAAAAAAAAAUUGCAAAUCAAUAUCGCGGGGGUGCUCAAUUUGUUGGCCGUGUUCGAAAAAGUAUAUGGUAAUAUUUAAUUUUAUGUAGUUUAAUAUUAUAUAUUGAGUAUUGUAUACAUAUUUGAAAAAAAAAAACUAUAUUUAUCUUGUAGGCCGAUGAAUUAGGAUGCACAACGACAGAAAUUGAACUUUAUCACCGGUUCUACAGUAAAAAUAAAAUAAAAUACCUACACAAGAUGUUGCAGCUCUUGAGGGGGAGCUACGAAAAUAUUCUGAAAGUAAUUCUAUUUCCGAUCGGGAUCCAAAAAAACUUCUCGAUGCAUUUGGUGGUUUCAACCUAAGAGAUCGUGUUCCUGGGCUUGGUUCAAGAGGUGAUGAAAUUUUUUUCUACAAAUCCCGAUUCCAUGAAGUUUAAUAAUUGUAUUCCUAAUGAGCCAGAGCCAUAUUAUUCACAAAUGGCUAAUCUAUUUGAUCUUUAUCAAAUGCGUCGAGAGGAAAGUGGAAGUCGGAGUCGGACGGGUGAAGCGAGUAGACGUGGACACUGUUAUGCCAACAAAGAAAAUGACGAUGAUGAAACUAUUCUACAUACACAAUAUUAUUAUAAUUUUGUAUAUUUUUUCUCUUAUGUAAU